rnacentral:ncRNA from 1 species
CGUUGACACUGGGGGCGCCGCAAGGCUGAGACGAACGUUUAAGUUCGGACCCUUCGAACCUGAUCUGGUUUAUACCAGCGUAGGGAAGUGAGAGCGAAUGGAC